GACGAACGCUGGCGGCGUGCCUAAUACAUGCAAGUAGAACGCUGAAGAGAGGAGCUUGCUCUUCUUGGAUGAGUUGCGAACGGGUGAGUAACGCGUAGGUAACCUGCCUUGUAGCGGGGGAUAACUAUUGGAAACGAUAGCUAAUACCGCAUAACAAUGGAUGACACAUGUCAUUUAUUUGAAAGGGGCAAUUGCUCCACUACAAGAUGGACCUGCGUUGUAUUAGCUAGUAGGUGAGGUAAUGGCUCACCUAGGCGACGAUACAUAGCCGACCUGAGAGGGUGAUCGGCCACACUGGGACUGAGACACGGCCCAGAAUCCUACGGGAGGCAGCAGUAGGGAAUCUUCGGCAAUGGGGGCAAACCUGACCGAGCAACGCCGCGUGAGUGAAGAAGGUUUUCGGAUCGUAAAGCUCUGUUGUAAGUCAAGAACGGGUGUGAGAGUGGAAAGUUCACACUGUGACGGUAGCUUACCAGAAAGGGACGGCUAACUACGUG
rnacentral:rRNA from 1 species